UACGUAGGGUCCGAGCGUUGUCCGGAAUUAUUGGGCGUAAAGGGCUCGUAGGCGGUUUGUCGCGUCGGGAGUGAAAACACGGGGCUUAACCCCGUGCCUGCUUCCGAUACGGGCAGACUAGAGGUAUGCAGGGGAGAACGGAAUUCCUGGUGUAGCGGUGAAAUGCGCAGAUAUCAGGAGGAACACCGGUGGCGAAGGCGGUUCUCUGGGCCUGUACUGACGCUGAGGAGCGAAAGCGUGGGGAGCGAACAGG
rnacentral:rRNA from 1 species